UUGAAUACUCUUCUGAAUGAACCUACGACUGCACCUUUACAACCCAAAUCAGCAAACUUCACGAGCACAUCUAACCAGAUUAAGGGCAAUAUGGGGUACAUCUUCCAGGAGGAAGAUGUCAAUCAACCAGUCAGCUUCCUAAAUGAACUUCGAUUACAGACAGUUGUGACAACUACACCGGCCAGUACUACGGUGACUUCUGCAAUCCCAAUGUAAGGUUUUGUUAGACAC